GGCCGCCCUGGCGCGGGCCGAGCGCGAGCGGGACGAGGCCCUGGCGGGCCUCGCCGGGCUCGCGCGGAGCGCGCCCGCGGCGGCCCCC
rnacentral:tRNA from 1 species